UAGAGUUUGAUCCUGGCUCAGAUUGAACGCUGGCGGCAGGCCUAACACAUGCAAGUCGAGCGGAUGAUGGGAGCUUGCUCCCGGAUUCAGCGGCGGACGGGUGAGUAAUGCCUAGGAAUCUGCCUGGUAGUGGGGGACAACGUUUCGAAAGGAACGCUAAUACCGCAUACGUCCUACGGGAGAAAGCAGGGGACCUUCGGGCCUUGCGCUAUCAGAUGAGCCUAGGUCGGAUUAGCUAGUUGGUGGGGUAAAGGCCUACCAAGGCGACGAUCCGUAACUGGUCUGAGAGGAUGAUCAGUCACACUGGAACUGAGACACGGUCCAGACUCCUACGGGAGGCAGCAGUGGGGAAUAUUGGACAAUGGGCGAAAGCCUGAUCCAGCCAUGCCGCGUGUGUGAAGAAGGUCUUCGGAUUGUAAAGCACUUUAAGUUGGGAGGAAGGGCAGUAAGUUAAUACCUUGCUGUUUUGACGUUACCAACAGAAUAAGCACCGGCUAACUUCGUGCCAGCAGCCGCGGUAAUACGAAGGGUGCAAGCGUUAAUCGGAAUUACUGGGCGUAAAGCGCGCGUAGGUGGUUUGGUAAGAUGGAUGUGAAAUCCCCGGGCUCAACCUGGGAACUGCAUCCAUAACUGCCUGACUAGAGUACGGUAGAGGGUGGUGGAAUUUCCUGUGUAGCGGUGAAAUGCGUAGAUAUAGGAAGGAACACCAGUGGCGAAGGCGACCACCUGGACUGAUACUGACACUGAGGUGCGAAAGCGUGGGGAGCAAACAGGAUU
rnacentral:rRNA from 1 species